UGCCAGCCGCCGCGGUAAUACGGAGGGUGCAAGCGUUAUCCGGAUUUAUUGGGUUUAAAGGGUGCGCAGGCGGGAUAGUAAGUCAGUGGUGAAAUCCAACAGCUCAACUGUUGAACUGCCAUUGAUACUGCUAUUCUUGAAUUUAGUUGAAGUGAACGGAAUGUAACAUGUAGCGGUGAAAUGCAUAGAUAUGUUACAGAACACCAAUUGCGAAGGCAGUUCACUAAGCUAAUAUUGACGCUCAGGCACGAAAGCGUGGGUAGCGAACAGGAUUAGAUA
rnacentral:rRNA from 1 species